UUAAGAGAGAAGAAAAUAAUUCAAUUAUGAUAUUCUUAGAGUACAAAUCCAUUAUUGUAAGGUCCAUAAAAGUUCAAAAAUAAAAUUAAAAAAAGAGGCAAUUUUAGCAUAAAGGUAUAUUGCAUAGAUUUUUUUGCUAGUGUAAGAACCCAUUUUCCCUGCAUGACAUAAGUGUAAUCUCUUUGGUAUUGAACUCAUCAACUGACUUAACCUAAGUUCCAUCGCCUUAUUUUAACAGCACGACAAUAGUUUCCAACACACCUAUACACAACCUGACUUUUUGGACAAUCAUGAACUGUUUUACACUUAAGGUAUGCUGUAAUGAAAAAAAGAGAAUGCAAUAAUGUUACUAAAAUAAGAUAAAAUCUUGUGUACAAACAAAAUAAAACUAAAGAAAGGAAUUUGAAAAGGAAAAAUAAAUCCGACCGUCAACAUUCCUUGCAGCUAGAAACAUAGAAAUAAAUAAAAUCAUAGCAUACACAAACUUGAUAGUUUU
rnacentral:lncRNA from 1 species